AGGUGUUUUGCAUAACGCAGUAAACUUUAUAACCUAAAAGGGACAAUUUUAAUGUACUUGGCCGAUAUUAUUCAUGCCAUUAUGUGUCACCCUAGAUUCACCAGGGUACAACAGUAAAAGUAACAGUAAUGAUUAUUGCUAAUGCCACUAUUAAUUAUUCAUAUUAGUGUUAUCCACUGAAGUCAUUUCAGAAUUCCCCAGAUAGAUAUAGGCAAUUUCUCUUCCAUACAAUCAUCUCCUUACAUAUCUUUAUCAUCCUUCCUCCCCUCCUUCCUUCCAUCCUCCCAGUGUUGUUAUAAUUCUUUAUCCUGUCUCCUCCACUAAAAUAUAAGCUCUUCCAGGGUGCAGACCUCUUACUUGUGUGAAUAUCCUGGCACUUAGCACAGUCUCUGGCACAGAGUAGAUAUUCAAUCCCUUUUAGUUGAAUGAAAGAAUGGAUCUGAGUCUCUUAACUAUAGUUCUUUAGACAAUUCAAUGUGUUAAAUCAUAACUUCUUGCUGGAUAUCCAGCCGCAUUGUGCCUUUAGGUACUUAGGCAUUAUUCCAUUGGAAGAGUUGUGGACAUUAUACAUCUGUUUAUGUUUAAAGAAAUGGACUUCAGUUGAAUGUCAUUUUCUAGACUCUCAAAAUUGGCUUUUUCUUUUUUUUAAGAAUCUCUUUCUCUUUUUGAAAGAACUCAUUGUCCCCAUGACCUGAACUGUUCCCCCAGCACCCUCAUGCCGCCCUCAUGCCUCCUUUUACCUGCACACACCGUUUGGACCCGAAUUUGGUAAAGAGGAGGGACACUGGAUCCACUGAAGUGGUGAAGAGGUGUCAAGACAAAGUUUGGAGAAGCCUCAAAGAAGUACUCUAGGAACAAUGUGAUUGGGGUAGGUAUUUCCCACACAGUCAAGCUCCCUGAGGGAAGAACCCUGGGUAAAGCUCACCUAUGAAGUCCCCAAAAUUACUGAGUACCCAACUCAGAGCUGACUUUUAAUGAAUAUUUUUUAAAUGCGCAAAUGAAUAAUGAAUGAUUAUUUUGAAAAUUAUCUUGG
rnacentral:lncRNA from 1 species